GCCAGCAGCCAUAUCACCCUGAGGCCAAAGACUGGUUACCCACUGAAGCUAAGCAGGACUGAGCCUGGUCGGUACCUGGAUGGGAGACCUCCUGGGAAAACUAGGUUGCUGCUGGAA
ensembl:rRNA 5S_rRNA 5S ribosomal RNA